rnacentral:rRNA from 1 species
UACGUAGGGUGCGAGCGUUGUCCGGAAUUAUUGGGCGUAAAGGGCUCGUAGGCGGUUUGUCGCGUCGGGAGUGAAAUCCACUGGCUUAACUGGUGGCUUGCUUUCGAUACGGGCAGACUGGAGGUAUGCAGGGGAGAACGGAAUUCCUGGUGUAGCGGUGAAAUGCGCAGAUAUCAGGAGGAACACCGAUGGCGAAGGCAGGUCUCUGGGCAUUAACUGACGCUGAGGAGCGAAAAGCAUGGGGGAGCGAACAGG